rnacentral:miRNA from 1 species
GAAUAUGGGAAAUGCUAGAAAGUCU